UGGUAGGUUUUACUUCUUGCCAUUUCUCUAAAUGUUGUCUCAUUGUUUCUGGUAGGGAUUUACCUGUUCCUCUUAUUGUAAAUCCUAGGAAUUCUACUUCACUUUUUCCUAUUUCCAUUUUCUUUAGAGAGGUUUUUAAACCUUUUCUAGCCUUUUCGUUACUUCAAGUAUUUGGAAGUGCUCUUCCUCUGUCUCUGUCAUGAUUAGGAUGUCAUCAAUAUACACAACUGAAUUAGGCACAUCUUUUAGGAUUUCGAUCAUUGCUGCUAGGGCUGUGCAAUUAAUCGCAAUCGCAAAAAAAUCGCAAUUUUAAGCAUGUGCGAUAUCUAAACCACACAAGGCUGCAAUUUUAUCUAUUAAGAUGUUAACCAAUCAGAGCUCACGCAGCGCACCGCGCAAAUUACAGCUCAGCUGAGUGGGAGAAAGAUGUUAACCACAACGAAGCGGAGCGGAAGAACCGAAUAGGCGAGCGGGAGGAAAGAACAUAAAAUAUGGAUGCAGGUCAAAAUAAAAAUGAUUUGGUGCCAAAGAGAAAUUCAACGUCCGUCGUUUGGGAGUAUUUUGGAUUCAGGAGAGAGGAUGUGUCACAGAGCAAGGUAAUUUGCAAGACUUGUGAAAUGAUUAUUCCAACUAAAUGGAGCAAUACUACAAAUCUGUUCCAACACUUAAAACAGCACCAUAAAAAAACUGCAUGAUCAAUGCAUGUCGACAAAGUCCAUCGAAACAAACAAAAGCACACAUCAAAGCCAGCCCGAACAGAUUGAUCAAGUAUCUGUUGUUCAAGCAUUUGCAAGCGCCAUGGAUCAAAGCGGCACAAAGAAAUUACUGACGUGGUCACCUAUCAUAUAUGCAAAGAUAUGAUGCCUGCGCACAUUGUCAUUAAAGACGGCUUCCGAAGACUAAUACAAACACUCGACAAAAGAUACCAUCUGCCAUCUCGCACUCAUUUCACACGAUUUGCUAUUCCCGAAAUGUAAGGCGGGCGUUGAAUACGAGCUCAAGCAGGUGAAAUACUACACCACGACCACAGAUAUGUGGUCCAGCAGAACGAUGGAGCCGUACAUGAGUUUAUUAAUGACACUAUAUUAAUGACAACUUUGAAAUGAAAAGUCGAUGUUUGCAAACAACAUUCUUCCCAGAAGAUCACACUGGAGAAAAUAUAUCUGAAGGGUUAAAAGAAGCUUUAGCAUCAUGGGGACUUUGUGAAGAGCAACAAAUGUCUAUCACCACAGACAAUGGAACUAAUAUAGUGAAGGCUGUCACUUUGAACAACUGGACACGAUUGCAGGGCUUCGGACACAGACUGCAUUUGGCAAUUCAAAUUGCAAUCAAGGAUGAACCUUGCAUUUCCCGUGCCAACGGCUUGUGCAAAAAGCUAGUGGGACAUUUUUCCCACAGUUGGAAAAAAAAAGAUGUUAGCCGAAGCCCAGGAAGAACUCCAGCUUCCCCAACAUGCCCUCAUAACAUCAUGCCCAACAAGAUGGGGCUCAAUGCAACAAAUGAUAGACAGGGUUUUGGAGCAACAGAGGGCAUUGUCUCACGUCCUUUCAGCUGACCGUAAAACAAGACACCUAGUGCCCCAAUGGCAAGACACAGAUGUUCUAGAAUCUGUAAGUAAGGCAUUAGGUCCACUUCAGGAGUUCAUGGAUGCCCUUUCCAGUGAAAACUACAUCAGUGUGUGUCGUAUAUGAAACCGGUUCUUCACCUGCUGAACACCAAGAUUCUUGCAGUUGAGGAUGAAGAUACUGACUUGACAAAGACUAUAAAAUCAAAAAUUCUGAGCUACAUCAACAAACAUUAUGAGGAUGAAACUACCCAAGAGCUUCUGGAUACAACAACAUUUUUGGAUCCCAGAUCAAAACCAGUUACACUGAUGAGGAUAAACUUCCAAACAUUAAGGCCAGGGUCAUGUCUGACAUGGAAAUGAGUUCACACAAGAUACAUCUGAAUCUGUGAGUAACACAUGCAGAGAGAAUCCUGACAUCAAUCUACCUCCACCAGGAAAAAAAGCACGGGAGUCCUUAGGAAGCUUCUUCAAAACGACAUCAGCCAUGCCAGCAGCUCUGCGAAUUGAAGAAGCCAUAGCCUCUGAGUUAAACAGCUACCUGCUUUCUCCAUCCAUUGAUAGUGAGGAAGAUCCUCUGAAAUGGUGGACUCCAUCAGAUAAAUUUUCCAAGAAUGAGCAGGCUUGCACAAAAAUAUCUUUGUAUUACUGCCACCAGCUCACCUUCAGAGAGAGUGUUUAGUACUGUGGAGAGUGUGGUGACAUGUCACCGUUCAUGCUUAAAACCAGAAAUGGUGGACAUGCUGGUUUUUCUUGCAAAAAACCUUUAAGAGAGCAAUCUGUUUUUUGGUUUUGAUUUCUGUUUGAUUUCUGUUUUUAUUUAUUGCUA